rnacentral:rRNA from 1 species
UACAGAGGUCCCGAACGUUGUUCGGAUUUACUGGGCGUAAAGGGUGCGUAGGUGGCAGGGUAAGUUCGGUGUGAAAGCUUCGAGCUCAACUCGGAAACGGCAUUGAAUACUAUCCUGCUUGAGGGUCGGAGGGGAGACUGGAAUUCUCGGUGUAGCAGUGAAAUGCGUAGAUAUCGAGAGGAACACCAGUGGCGAAGGCGGGUCUCUGGACGACUCCUGACACUGAGGCACGAAAGCUAGGGGAGCAAACAGG